AUGGCUACAGUUCUCAGAAAUAAUAAUUUUGUCCAUUAUUCAGUAGUUUCCCGGAGAGAGAUCUUCAUGUGUUUUGCCCACAACAAAACUUGUAAGUUAUUUAAUAAAAUAUUGUUAAAACAACAUGCACAAGUGUUUUGUAGAAUAAUAUAUAAUUUAAAUGAUAUUAAAUGUCACAUUUCACAUGUAAUUUCAGGUGUUGUAUGUUGGUCUGGAGCAGGUGGAACCGUCAUAAAGAUGAUUAAGAGCAGGAAUGCUCUUGAAAGCUUUCGGGAACAACUAGAACCACCUCCAGACUGCAUACAACACUUUAAGGCAAACACAUCUCUCUUUGUGAAAUCUCUUUCUGGCGGUUCGAGUGCCAGAGCGGACUCAGUGGAACAGUAAACAAAGCUGUGUGAGCAACUAAAAAUGUUCACUGCAACUGGCCCACAAAGACUGCCUUGCUAAAGACAACGCAAGGCCGUCCUUAGGGUGGUGCAACUGGUACAGCUGCACUGUGCCCUGCACUUUAGGGAACAGACCGAUGGGGCAGUUGGCCCCCAACCCCAACCUGGAACGCUCCCUACCUCGCACUGGGUCCACGCUAGCUUAGGAUGACACUGGCACGACGGUAAGCCUUUUGAUCAUAUAUAGCAGAUAAAAAAAAUAAACAGAUUACAUUGUAGUUAUCUUACUAGCUU
ensembl:lncRNA